rnacentral:lncRNA from 1 species
GUGAGUACAGUACAAUACGAUAUUUUGAGAGAAGAGAGACAGAGAGAGCACAUUCAAAUAACUUUUAUUACAGCAUAUUGUUAUAAUCAUUCUAUUUUAUUAUUAGUUAUUGUUAAUCUCUUAUUGUGCCUAAUUGAUAAAUUAAACUUUAUCAUGUGUAUGUAUAUGAGAAAAAUACUGUAUAUAGGUUUUGGCACUAUGUGCCAUUUCAGACAUCCCAGUAUUGAGUGUCUCUUUCAGAGGACAUAGACAAAAAGGGUAAGUCCAGAGGAGAGACUGGGAUGAUGAGGAUGAGAUCCUACUUGACUAUCAGCUUCAGCAAGAGCCUUAAAUAUUAAGAGACAUACCUGAAGGCCGUGAUAUAAAAGAAAAGCCUCUCUCCCACCUCUAGAGGAAAGAACUGGACCGAUUUUAGGGAAAUGCAUUUGAUCUUAAAUUUCAUCACAGCCAGAACUGUAAAAUGUGAAUGUAUUAGUCGAUGAAUUUUCUCAUUUAGAGAGAUGAUCCUACACGACUCUGGGGGUACAAUAGAGAGGACUGUAUGUGUAUAGGUAGGAAGCUGAGCUAAGCUUCUGAAAUCACUUACUUUCAAGCUCAACAUACUUUGAUAGUAAUUUAUAGUGACUCACAAUCAAUUCCCUUUAAGACUUUCAAAGUCACAAAUUG